rnacentral:lncRNA from 1 species
UCAGAUUCUGCUCCUGCAGGAUAUACUCUUUUGUUGGCAUGAAAAAACAUUCUGGCCUGUGACUCAGCCUGACCAGCUCUGCUUUACUUCAUCUGCAAGAAACUGCAUCAUCCAUGUAUUUAUUUACUGACACACUGCAUGGUUAUUGCCUGAGAAAUCUCUAUAAAACGCUGCGUCCUCACCCUUUAUGCUACGAGUGGGCACGAGGGACCUCCCUCGGUGCGUCCUGCCCUGAGCCGCCCCGUUGCAGCGGGAGCAGAUCAUGGAAAUGUUGAAUGACUCCGGUAGCUGAAUCACCACGUUUCUUCAGGUUUCCCCUCUGAUGCCACACUGACUCGCAGAUACUUACGUGAGUAAUCCUGCGCGUGACUUCGAAGCAUUUACACGCAGCUCCUUUACACGCUUGGGAAAAGCUCUGCCGUUCGGGGGGCUGCAGACACUUCCCUGCUCCGGGGAGCUGUGCAGCCCUGGUGCUGAGCGAGGAGCCGAGUGAUGCGCAUCAGUCAGCUCUCGGCAGUGCUGCUGCAGUCGGAGGGCUUGGUGUGUCAGUAGGUGUCAGCAUUCAGUUGCUGUGUAAUUGAGCACUGUGAUUGAAUGCUCAUGGCAACACGCCUGCGGAAUUAAUGCCAAGUACUCUACAAACCGUGCUUUAGGAUAGGAUUAUUCAACCAGAAGUUUCUGGAUACAGAAAGGGAAAAAGAUCCUUACAGCUCUGUUUGGUGUCCAAACCCCCAGUUUCUUCACUGGAAACACCACUGUGCUCCGUCGCACCUGCUGACAGCACAGUGUGUGAAGAUGAGCACUUGCCCCUAUAGUGUUGUGCAAGCGUUGUGACCACUUGCUCACCUGUGUCUGCGCCUGCCCUUGGGUGGGUUGGGGUGCUGCUGGCGGCACGAGCCCCUGCUCCUUCUCCUUGAGAAGUGGAUACGUGCCUUGGACAAUUUGCUGGCAAAAGUCUCUGCUGAUAGCUGUAGAGCACCUGUGGCAGCACCUCCUUCUCUAACCAUGUUACAGCCUCCCAGUUUUC